rnacentral:rRNA from 1 species
AGAUUGAACGCUGGCGGCAUGCCUUACACAUGCAAGUCGAACGCGAAAGGGGGGCAACCCCGACGUAGAGUGGCGAACGGGUGAGUAAUACAUCGGAACGUAUCCAGUAGCGGGGGAUAACCUCUCGAAAGAGAGGCUAAUACCGCAUACGACCUACGGGUGAAAGAGGGGGAUCGCAAGACCUCUCACUAUUGGAGCGGCCGAUGUCGGAUUAGCUAGUUGGCGGGGUAACGGCCCACCAAGGCUACGAUCCGUAGCUGGUCUGAGAGGACGACCAGCCACACUGGAACUGAGACACGGUCCAGACUCCUACGGGAGGCAGCAGUGGGGAAUUUUGGACAAUGGGCGCAAGCCUGAUCCAGCCAUGCCGCGUGAGUGAAGAAGGCCUUCGGUUGUAAAGUC